GCAGUGAUGGGGACAGUCAUGUCACUGGGUUUCUCUCUGUUGGUCCUGAUCACUGCUUUGUCCAGUUUGGUGAUGAUGUCGUCCUUCACACCAGAGAGCUGAAACACACAGUCGUACCUCCUCC